rnacentral:rRNA from 1 species
UGUCCUACGGGGGGCAGCAGUCGAGAAUCAUUCACAAUGGGGGAAACCCUGAUGCAGCAACGCCGCGUGAAGGAAGACGGUUUUCGGAUUGUAAACUUCUGUUCUUAGUGAAGAAAAAUGACGGUAGCUAAGGAGCAAGCCACGGCUAACUACGUGCCAGCAGCCGCGGUAAUACGUAGGUGGCAAGCGUUGUCCGGAAUUACUGGGUGUAAAGGGAGCGCAGGCGGGAAGCCAAGUCAGCUGUGAAAACUACGGGCUUAACUUGUAGACUGCAGUUGAAACUGGGUUUCUUG